rnacentral:tRNA from 1 species
GCGCCGGUAGCUCAGAUGGAUAGAGCGGCGGUCUACGGAACCGCAGGUCACGAGUUCGAAUCUUGUCCGGCGCG